CUUCGGGUUGUAAAGCUCUUUCAGCCGGGAAGAAAACGCAUGGGUUAAUACCCUGUGUGGAUGACGGUACCGGAAUAAGAAGCACCGGCUAACUACGUGCCAGCAGCCGCGGUAAUACGUAGGGUGCGAGCGUUAAUCGGAAUUACUGGGCGUAAAGCGUGCGCAGGCGGUUUGUUAAGAUAGGCGUGAAAUCCCCGGGCUCAACCUGGGAACUGCGUUUAUGACUGGCAGGCUAGAGUAUGGCAGAGGGGGGUGGAAUUCCACGUGUAGCAGUGAAAUGCGUAGAGAUGUGGAGGAACACCGAUGGCGAAGGCAGCCCCCUGGGCCAAUACUGACGCUCAUGCACGAAAGCGUGGGUAGCAAACAGGAUUAGAUACCCUGGUAGUCCACGCCCUAAACGAUGUCAACUAGGUGUUGGGAGGGUAAAACCUUUUAGUACCGGAGCUAACGCGUGAAGUUGACCGCCUGGGGAGUACGGCCGCAAGGUUAAAACUCAAAGG
rnacentral:rRNA from 1 species